rnacentral:lncRNA from 1 species
GUGGAGAGGCAGAGCAGGGCUUGACUGUGUCCCAGCCUUUGUAAUGCUACAGACAGAAGUGUGAAACAACUGGCAGUUCCAGAAAAUCAGCUGCAAUCGGAGUAUAGAUGUCUGCUCGAUGUCUGCUUUGUUCUCAUUGGUUCCCAUCAGUUUGAUCGACUCUUUUCGCUAAGUUGCUAAUACGAGUUCAGUCUCCUUGCUUCAGUGCUUUCUUUCAGUCUGUAGAAGAAGAGGACAAAAAAUGGAGUACAGAAGAAAAGUGCUUAUUGUUGCAAUAAUUUUCACAGUUGCCUGCAGCAAAGUGACCACACAGGAAACAAGACUACUGGAUUUUCUAAAUAACACAGAUGUCGUAGAUGACCAGUACAAUGGAUGCCGUGAUGAGGCCAUGAAGAAGGUCGUUUUAAAUCUCACUUCUUGCUUUUUUGUCAACCUGAAAGACUAUGUGUGCGGCCAAGAACAGGAUGAAAUACUCUUGUCUCCAGCAGAAGUUUUCACUGUGGAGGACAUAAAUAGCAAACUUGUGGAUGCAGAUGAAGAUUCUCAAUAUGUAGAAAUUGUUUUGAAACAUUCAGGACUUGAAAGCUCACACAACUGCUACAUCUUUUCACGGUCUCCUCCAGCUGUUGUCUCCAUCCUGUGGCUUGUAUCAGUGCUUUCGGCCUUAUCUUUGUUUUGUUUUUUAGCUGUUUAGCAAAAACAGUUAUCAUUCAGUUUUCUGGGUUUUAUCAUCUACAAUAUUGCUGCAAAUAUUCAUACAAUGUCAAAAAAAUGGUUCAUGUCAUAUUUAUCUGAAAGAUCUUUUACUGUUUGUAUGACUCAAGUGAUGUCCAAAUCAACAGUUUUGCCUUGUGGAGUGCCUCAGGGAUCUGUCCUGGGUCCAAUUCCCUUUUUGCUUUAUAUAUAUUUCACCUAGGCCAAAUUAAAUGGGGGCUACAAUAAUAUCGCCCAUCAUCUCUAUGCUGAUUAGAUUCAGUUAUACUGCUCUUUUAAAGUCUCUGAGUUUUAUAAAUUGUCUAGUUUAAGUAAUUGCCUGACAGAAAUCAAGCAACGGUUAAACGACAACUUCCUCCAGCUAAAUUAUGAUAAAACAGAAACUUUGAUUAUUGUUCCCGACCAUAUGAUCUCAGAAAUUAGGCAGCAUCAGCUUCUUAGAGCCUUCUGUUAAAUCGAGCCUUAGAAACCUUGGUGUCAUAUUUGACAGCUCCGUUUCCCUUGAGCAACAUUCCAAAUGGCUGGUCCAGAACUGUUUUUAUCAUCCAAGGAAUAUUUCAAAACUCGGACUAAUGGUGUCAAAGGCUGAACUUGAGAUGAUUAUUCAUGCUUUUAUUUCUUCCCGUUUGGAUUAUUGGAAUGGUCUUUUUAUUUGUUUUAACAAAUUAGCUUUAAAUCAUCCUCAGACUGUGAAGAAUGCUGCAGCAAGACUCUCAACAGGCACCAACAGAAGAUCACAUAUCACUCCAGUUUUAGCCUCCCUUCCCUGGUUGCCUGUAAGUUUUAGGUUUCAUUGAAAAAUGUUAGUUCUAACCUUUAGGGACCUACAUGUUCAAGCUUCCCAGUACAUAUCUCACCUGCUGAAAUCGCAUUCCACUUCCCGAUCUCUAAGGUCAUCAGGUCAGAGACUGCCGGUGGCCCCAUGCACUCAAUUCAAAACUCGUGGUGAUUGGGCCUUUCGGGCAGUGGCACCACGGUUGUGGAAUUCUCUUCCACUAUUUUUACGCUGUUACUGACUCCACUGAUUCUUUUAAAAAGCAGUUGGUGACAUUUUUAUAUAGACAAG